CAGCCGCCGCGGUAAUACCGGCGGCCCGAGUGGCGGUCACUAUUAUUGGGCUUAAAGCGUCCGUAGCCGGGUUGGGAAGUCCUCCGGGAAAUCUGGCCGCUUAACGGUCAGAAUGCCGGAGGAUACUCCCAGCCUAGGGAGCGGGCGAGGCCGAGGGGAUUCCCGGAGUAGGGGUGAAAUCCUAUAAUCCCGGGAGGACCACCUGUGGCGAAGGCGCUCGGCUGGAACGCGUCCGACGGUGAGGGACGAAGGCCAGGGGAGCAAACCGGAUUAGAUGCCCGGGUAGUCCUGGCGGUAAACGAUGCGGACUUUGUGUCGGACAAGCUAUGAGCUUGUCCGGUGCCGGAGGGAAACCGUUAAGUCCGCCGCCUGGGGAGUACGGCCGCAAGGCUGAAACUUAAAGGAAUUGGCGGG
rnacentral:rRNA from 1 species